UACGUAGGGGGCAAGCGUUGUCCGGAUUCAUUGGGCGUAAAGCGCGUGUAGGCGGCCAGGUAGGUCCGAUGUGAAAUCUGGAGGCUCAACCUCCAGCGGUCAUUGGAAACCAUCUGGCUAGAGUCCGGAAGAGGAGAGUGGAAUUCCUGGUGUAGCGGUGAAAUGCGCAGAUAUCAGGAAGAACACCAAUGGCGAAAGCAGCUCUCUGGGACGGUACUGACGCUGAGACGCGAAAGCGUGGGGAGCGAACAGG
rnacentral:rRNA from 1 species